GUCAGGAUGGCCGAGCGGUCUAAGGCGCUGCGUUCAGGUCGCAGUCCACUUCUGUGUUGUGGGUUCGAAUCCCACUUCUGACA